UAAGGAAUAUUGGUCAAUGGGCGCAAGCCUGAACCAGCCAUGCCGCGUGAAGGAUGACGGCCCUAUGGGUUGUAAACUUCUUUUGUACGGGAAAAAACCUCUGGUCGUGUACCAGAGCUGAUGGUACCGUAAGAAUAAGCAUCGGCUAACUCCGUGCCAGCAGCCGCGGUAAUACGGAGGAUGCAAGCGUUAUCCGGAUUCAUUGGGUUUAAAGGGUGCGCAGGCGGAUUAUUAAGUCAGUGGUGAAAGCCUACAGCUUAACUGUAGAACUGCCAUUGAUACUGAUAUUCUUGAGUGUUGUUGAGGUAGGCGGAAUGUGUCAUGUAGCGGUGAAAUGCUUAGAUAUGACACAGAACACCGAUCGCGAAGGCAGCUUACCAAGCAACAACUGACGCUCAUG
rnacentral:rRNA from 1 species